rnacentral:sRNA from 1 species
ACUCUAGCGCGCCAGGCCGAACCGCAGCUUCUUGGCUUAGGUACUUCUACUCACAGCGGCCGAUUCCGAGGCCAACUCCAGCAAUGGCUUUUGCAAACCUGCGGAAAGUGCUCAUCAGUGACAGCCUGGACCCUUGCUGCCGGAAGAUCUUGCAAGAUGGAGGGCUGCAGGUGGUGGAAAAGCAGAACCUUAGCAAAGAGGAGCUGAUAGCCGAGCUGCAGGACUGUGAAGGCCUUAUUGUUCGCUCUGCCACCAAGGUGACCGCUGAUGUCAUCAACGCAGCUGAGAAACUCCAGGUGGUGGGCAGGGCUGGCACAGGUGUGGACAAUGUGGAUCUGGAGGCCGCAACAAGGAAGGGCAUCUUGGUUAUGAACACGCCCAAUGGGAACAGCCUCAGUGCCGCAGAACUCACCUGUGGGAUGAUCAUGUGCCUGGCCAGGCAGAUUCCCCAGGCGACGGCUUCGAUGAAGGAUGGCAAAUGGGAGCGGAAGAAGUUCAUGGGAACAGAGCUGAAUGGAAAGACCCUGGGAAUUCUUGGCCUGGGCAGGAUUGGGAGAGAGGUAGCUACCCGGAUGCAGUCCUUUGGGAUGAAGGCCUUCCUUCUCCGUGGCACCACUACACAUCAAAUUCCUGGCUCAGCAAUAUUCUUCAUCAUGGAGACUUCAGCAGUGACUUAAACCAGAUGAAAAGCCCCACCUCAUUCCUGAAUGAUUGAGGUGCUAGACUAUAGGGUAUGACCCCAUCAUUUCCCCAGAGGUCUCGGCCUCCUUUG